AAGGCUUCAAAUAUUUUCAGUUUUGUUUUGGGCUCGACGGAACAACAUCUCCAUAAAAAUUUUCAGUAAAAAUGUUUUAUAAAAAUUUUAACAAAUCUUGAACUACUAAAAGACUAAGUGAAGAAAAACACUAAUUUGGAUUUUAGCUUUUGUGAUUGGGGGCUUACACAUUUCAUAAUCUUGCAAAAUUGGUGAAUGGAAGUUCGCCAGCUGCCCUCCAUUUGAUUGCUUUCAAGGAAUCAAAAAUAUAGAACGUCGUCGUGAAUAAGGCACACGACGACUUCUUCACAUUACAACAAGGAUUGCUCAUGACAAACUUGACACACAGUCGAACUCGUUCGCAUUCAUACGUUUACAAGUCUACUGGGAGCUGAGCGAUUCCAUCCCGAUUUUGUACCACUUCAGCACAAUGAAUUAUGAAUACGUCGAAUGACAUUAUCAUGUUGGCAACACAGUUUUUGCACACAAACCAAAUCCGGCAUUACUCAAUAAGUGGAUUAAGUAAUAUCAAUAAGUAAUGGUAUAGUGCUAUAUAUUACCAUAUUAUUAUUACCAUGCUAUAUAUUCAAGAUUACUCAUGUCAAACCAGCUACAAACACUAGUCUUCUCGUUUGCUUACAAGAUAUGUCUUCUAUACACAGUCCGAUACCGUCCCGAUACGAUACCUGUACCUCUCAGCAUGAUGAUUUAUGAAUACGUCGAAUUAUAUUAUCAUAUUGGCAACAGUUUUUUCACACUAACCAAAUCCAGCAUUACUCAAUAUGUGGACUUUUCAGCCAAUAAAAUACAUUAAAUAAGACUAUAAUAUACACUU